UCCAACUCUCCUUAGAUCCAACCCGUAAAAUAAAUUCCAUUUCCCACCAACCUCCGGCGGCAAGUGAAAGCAGCAGAAUGAAAGCGACACGUGGCUGCAAACUCUCCUUCCACGUCACCAUCGUCUCAGCGGCAAUUGCAUACAUUUACUACUCCACUGUGUUUGUGUUCAUUGAUCAGUGGUUGGGACUCUGGGUCGGGUUCUCACCUCCUUCCUACCCGAUGUCGAAGACCCGGAUAACACCGUUCAAGAGAUCAAACGAAAGGGUGGGGAUUUGAGAUACUGUCAAUAGAUGUGUACUGCGAUUGGUUCUGCUUAUUGGUAGCAUAACUGUUGACUCUCCGAAAGACUACCAGCAAAGUGAAGGUUCUUACAAAACUGUAUACAUUAUUUCAGGGCUUCUACUGGUCCCACUAAGCUUGGCACUGAGUGUUUUUUCUGGGUUGGCAUGUACACCUGAUUUUACAAAUCAAGACAACAAUUGAGGUCCAUUUAACUGAAUAUGCUAGUUUAUUCAAUUCUUUUAAGUGGCAUGUUAAGUUUUCAAGUGGUAAUUGACUAAUGCCUGAUAGUACCAAGAAGGUGUCAGAGCUAUGGGGCUGGCGGAAAAGCUGGGGCGGAUUUGUAGGCAAAUACAUGGGGCACGUGAACCCAACGGUCUUUCAGUCAAACUAGUGAUGCACACAUAUUAUAAAAAUCCUAGAUCCGUCUCCGUGAAAAGGGAGGUCAUGUUUUCGCAUCCGUAUGAUCUUUGGUGCAUAUGAGAAUUUGACAUCAGUUCUAGGCCCGAAUGUGUUUUGCCGGGCGUGCCCCCACAACAAGCCAUAUAGGUUCUGGUAUUCGCUUUCCAACACCAUUUGAUAAAGUAGUUGGCUCCUUGACAUCAAGAUGAAUAUGUUACUGAAACAACAUACAUCUUGUGAUAGAUGUCAAGUUUUUAGCUGCCAAAGAAGCAGAGGAAGUUUGGCUCUGCCUUAGGAGUAGCAAGAUUAACGUCGUUUGAUCGCUGUCUGCCAAGAAGAUCAACAACAUGGAGGCAAUUUUCAACCUUUGCUUCUAUCAUUUUAGAGAUAUCCAGGCCUCUAUCUGCUGUGACAUUAUAGUCAAAGGUAAUGAGAGAUAUUGAAGUGGUUGUCAAUAGCAUAAGCAGAUUCAGAAUUUAAACUCUAUGGGUUCAUCUUUUAAAGUUUUUUAGCAUUAAAUCCAUUAUGUUUUUAAAGU